CUGUUUCUCUUUGGUCGUCCUUCAACUGAAAUCUCUUUCUUCAAUCUGCAAGUCACAAUAACGGUCAAAACAGUACAAGCUGUGUUUUUUAAGAUAAACAGGAAGUACAAUAUCUGUCAAGAUGCUAAAUAUGGAUCAUUUUAUAUUGUAAGAAAAUCCCUGUUAGAAGUCGUCCAGUAAAUUGCCUGCUUCUUUCAUUGAAACUGAUGGAAAAACAUUGAAAUCGUUGUUGACACUGUGUCAGAAAGGCGUCGAUUAAGGUAAGAUUCAUUUUGUGAAUGUUGAAAUACUGCUCAUGAAAUACAACAAGAACCGUUGGGGAAUCAGAGCAAAGCUGUAAUGAGGGAGGUCGUUUUCAUGCUGUCCUUUGAGACACAAACCAAACUCUAAGAACUCACUGUCAAUUUGGUUGAAGAAAUAAAAAAUGUUGAACAUUAUUAACUGCUGCUGGCGUUGCAUCGCAAUGGGACAACAACAACUGAUACAGAUCAACAAUUAGCAUAGAUGUGCAGAUUACUUUAGCCAAUGGGGUUGUGUCAGUAAAUCUUCACAAUGUGAUUGGUGCCUCAGAGGCCGACGGGACAGAGGAACAGAUUUAAAAAGACACAACUGUUGCAUCUGGAGGACAGUCACUGAGACGGUGAAUGACAGCGAUGGCUCGUCUCACAACUCUUCUCGUUGCCAUGUGGCUUGGUGUGACAGUGAGCACAGUGGUUGAUCUGGAGAAGAGAAUCAUCGGAGGUCAUGUGUGUGGACCAAAUGAGCGUCUGUACCAUGUCCAGCUGAUAUCCA